UACAUGCAGUCGAGCGGACAGAUGGAGAGCUUGUCUGCCCUGUAUGUGACGGGCGGACGGGGGAGUAACACGUGGGUAAGCUGCCUGGCCCACUGGGAUAACUCCGGGAAACCGGGGCUAAUACCGGAUGGUUGUUUGAACCGCAUGGAUCAAACAUAACCUGCGGCUUUUGCUACAUUGUAUAUAUGGACCCGGGAUUAAUUAGCUGGUGGGGGAGGGAAUGGCUCACCAGAGCAUCCAUGCGUGGCCUAACAGGAAGGGUGAUCGGCCACACUGUGACAGAGACACCGCACUCACUCCUAAGGGAGGCAGGGGGAAGGAAUCUUCCUGGGGGAACCAAUGUCGGACGCAUGCCCGCCGCGUGAAUGAUGACUGCUUUCGGAUCAGAACUUUCUGUGGGGAGGAAAGAACGAGGACCGUUCUAAUAGGGCGGUACCUUGACUCGAACAAAACACAACGCCACGCUUAACUACGUGCCACGAGGCGCGGUAAUAGGUGCGUGGGAAACUCUGACCGGAAUUAUUGGCGUAAAGGCUCGCAGGGGUUUUUAAUUUGAGUGAAAGCCCCGGGUCACCGGGGAGGUCAUUGAAACUGUGGAACUUGAGUGCAGUAGAGGAGAGUGGAAUUCCACGUGUAGCGGUGAAAUGCGUAGAGAUGUGGAGGAACACCAGUGGGGAAGGCGACUCUCUGGUCUGUAACUGACGCUGAGGAGCGAAAGCGUGGGAGCGAACAGGAUUAGAUACCCUGGUAGUCCACGCCGUAAACGAUGAGUGAUAAGUGUUAGGGGUUUCCGCCCCUUAGUGCUGCAGUUAACGCAUUAAGCACUCCCCCUGGGGAGUACGGUCGCAAGAUUGAAACUCAAAGGAAUUGAC
rnacentral:rRNA from 1 species